rnacentral:piRNA from 1 species
UGGACUCAUUGCUCAUGCAAGUUACCCUC